UGAGGAACAUGACUUUCGGUGGGGGAGUAGCCGGCCCAACGGCCGGGUAAUACCGCGUACGACCUUUUGGGGUACGAUCCCCGACGGGGUGGAAAGCAGCAAUGCGCCGAAAGAGUGCCUCGCGGCCUAUCAGCUAGUUGGUGGGGUAAUGGCUCACCAAGGCGACGACGGAUAACCGGCCUGAGAGGGCGACCGGUCACACUGGGACUGAGACACGGCCCAGACUCCUACGGGAGGCAG
rnacentral:rRNA from 1 species